GAUGAACGCUAGCGGCAGGCUUAACACAUGCAAGUCGAGGGGUAUUGGUUUUCGGACCAAGAGACCGGCGCACGGGUGCGUAACGCGUAUGCAAUCUACCUUUUGCAGAGGGAUAGCCCCAGAGAAAUUUGGAUUAAUACCUCAUAGUAUAGUACUUUGGCAUCAAGGAACUAUUAAAGUCACAACGGCAAAAGAUGAGCAUGCGUCCAUUAGCUAGUUGGUAAGGUAACGGCUUACCGAGGCUACGAUGGGUAGGGGUUCUGAGAGGGAGAUCCCCCACACUGGUACUGAGACACGGACCAGACUCCUACGGGAGGCAGCAGUGAGGAAUAUUGGACAAUGGCGCAAGCCUGAUCCAGCCAUGCCGCGUGCAGGAUGACGGUCCUAUGGAUUGUAAAC
rnacentral:rRNA from 1 species